GACGAACGCUGGCGGCGUGCUUAACACAUGCAAGUCGAACGGAAAGGCCCUGCUUUUGUGGGGUGCUCGAGUGGCGAACGGGUGAGUAACCCGUUGGUAACGUACCCUUGACUUGGGGAUGACUUCAGGAACCUGGGGCUAAUACCGGAUAGGGGCUCCUGCUGCAUGGGGGGGGUUGGAAAGUUUCGGCGGUUGUGGAUGGACUCGCGGCUUAUCAGCUUGUUGGUGGGGUAGUGGCUUACCAAGGCUUUGACGGGUAGCCGGCCUGAGAGGGUGACCGGCCACAUUGGGACUGAGAUACGGCCCAGACUCCUACGGGAGGCAGCAGUGGGGAAUAUUGCACAAUGGGCGGAAGCCUGAUGCAGCAACGCCGCGUGCGGGAUGACGGCCUUCGGGCUGUAAACCGCUUUCGCCUGUGACGAAGCGUGAGUGACGGUAAUGGGUAAAGAAGCACCGGCUAACUACGUG
rnacentral:rRNA from 1 species